UCGUUGAAAUGAUUGGAUGUGUGAUAUGUAAAUGCAGGACACCAUAGGCAAGAGGCAGAGCGCCAAUCCAACUCAGGAAAUGAAGUGCUCUUAACCGCAAAUAGAUGUGCAUACUCAUGUUGUGACCAGCAUGAAGAAAGAUCAUACCUCAGGCCAAGCUCAGCGGUUAUCUAUUCUUUGAAAGCUUUGAGGUAAACUUU
rnacentral:misc_RNA from 1 species